rnacentral:lncRNA from 1 species
ACAAGAUUCAUUGGAAAUUAGCCAAAAGCCUGGAGCUGUUUGGAAGAUGGGGCCUCAAGUGGCCGGCAGGUAGGAUAUCUUCAAAAGACCGCCAUCCGGCCUGCUUCAGAUGCACCUGGCACAGAAAGUGCCAUGGCUUCCGUAUUCCACAUGUGCGCCCUGAAAGGAGGAGCAGAGGGAGCACCCAGUGGACCAUCUAAUAUGCCCCUGACGAUGAUGCUCAAGAACAUCAUGGGACACACUGAGAGGCUGAAGGAAAACAGAAAGCGUACCACCCUGCCCCGGCUUAGAGGCCAGGCCGUGCUCAUGCACACGCGUCUCCCUCUGUGCACCAACGUACCCUGGGACCCCGCGGCACCAGCCUCCGAGGGCUGCUCCUGUCAGUAAACACAUCCAUCUCCAGUGCACCUGCCAGGCGCUUGUGGAUUAUCAGUAAACACUCAUCGAACGAAUACGUGGAAGAUGGAACAUCUUGUCCAUACUCCUCUGAGAUCUUGUGUCUACAUCGCUUUGGACGGUUACCCGAUGGCCCACUGUGUGGCUGAACCGCUGCGUCCUCAGCUCCUUCUGGAGGCCCCACACCUCGGGUUUGAGCGGCUGCAGAGAGUGCGUGCUGGGGGUCCUCAGGGUCACUUCUGUGACCUCAUCUCAGAUGAACUGCGCUGAAGGACAGGCCACUUCUCUCGGGCCCUCAUCACAUGCUCAUCAAAUGGCUGUCGGGAAGGUGUGCCGGCCCUCACUGCGCUCGGCAACACUUCUUCCAAACUACCUUUUUAAAAAGAGAAGUUUAUUCUUGAUGGUAUAAAUCUGUGCUUCCCAAAGCCCCCAUGGCAAAGACGAGUGGUACUUUCUCCCUCCCACACAGACCCAUGCCAGCAAAAUGAAGCCAAAAGCAAUCAUUAAAAAGCCCCUUAAGUCAUAAGUCCCGGACAGCCCCGGUGGCCCAGUGGUUUGGCGCCGCCUUCGGCCCAGGGUGUGAUCCUGGAAACCCGAGAUCGAGCCCCGCGUCAGGCUCCCUGCAUGGAGGCUGCUUCUCUCUCUGCCUGUGUCUCUGCCUCUCUCUCUCUGUCUGUCAUGAAUAAAUAAAUAAAAUCUUUAAAAGUAAAUCAAGGGCAGCCCCGGUGGCUCAGCGGUUUAGCGCCACCUUCAGCCCAGGGCGUGAUCCUGGAGACCCAGGAUCGAUUCCCACGCUGGGCUCCCUGCAUGGAGCCUGCUUCUCCCUCUGCCUGUGUCUCUGCCUCUCUUUCUCCUCUCUGUGCUUCUCAUGAAUGAAUAAAUAAAAUCUUUAAAAAAUAAAAAUAAAAAAAUAAAAGUAAAUCAAUCAAUCAAUCAAAGUCCCAAUGUUCUGUGUUUAGGCUCAAUAGACAAGUUAUCUUGUCAAGUAACUCUAAGACUUUUUCCAUUUCUGUGGCUUUUUUGCGUGGCUCACAGACCAACCCUGGAUAGCGCUGGUUGGAAUGACUCACCUGCUGAGGAGCCCACCAUCCUGCCAACAGGAUGGCCUAUGCUUGAAAACAGUGCAUUUGCCUUUCUAACCCCAAGAGAUAAGCAGGAAAGAGCAGGAUAUUCCCAUUUUAAGGAAGAGCAAAUCAAGGCCCUGGGGAUUGUGGGCCAGUCCAGGGAUCAGAGCAUGGACACCCAUCCUCAGACUCUUGUCCAGUUUUCUGCAGUGGCAGGACCCCACCCUCUUGUGCACCAAUGACCUGUCCAAAACUGUGAGGUUUCCUGGCACCUGUCCAGCCACACAGAGGCCCUCACUUCACCCACCGGGUGCUUAUGCAGGCCAGGGCUUGGAUGGAGAAGUCGGCCUCCCAGUGGGGACCCUCUGUCCAGAGCCGGGGCCUUCUCCAGGGCCUAGGACGUCCCUCCCCAACCCAGGUGAUGCCCUGUUGGACACGACGACUCACACCCAGAGCAGUGCUGGCCCCUUUGUGAGGUGACAGCCUGCUAUGCCCCUGGGCUGGAACCAGGCAGACAGAUGGUCCAGAACAGCAGGUGGCGGCUUUCCACUUGUCACAUCCAGGUCCCCAGGCACUCACAUGUGGGUGCUUACACACACACACACACACACACACACACACACAUAGCCUGACUGCCUGGCCUCAGCUUCCACUGCUGCUGCUACAUGAGCGAUGACCAUGCUGAAGGGUCCAGGGCAGCAGGCCCACCAGAAUGACCACAGUUUAAAGCCUGUCCACACCUAGUACACUUGGGAGACCCCCGGGGCUCUCAGAUGCUGCUAGUAUGCAAGAGAGCUGGGAUGAGCACUUCUGGAAACAGGUAGUCUCUGA